rnacentral:rRNA from 1 species
UGUCGUCAGCUCGUGUCGUGAGAUGUUGGGUUAAGUCCCGUAACGAGCGCAACCCUUGUCCUUAGUUGCCAGCACGUAAUGGUGGGAACUCUAAGGAGACUGCCGGUGACAAACCGGAGGAAGGUGGGGACGACGUCAAGUCAUCAUGGCCCUUACGCCUAGGGCUACACACGUGCUACAAUGGCUGGUACAGAGAGAUGCGAAGCCGCGAGGUGGUGCAGACCUCAUAAAGCCAGCCCCAGUUCGGAUUGCAGGCUGCAACUCGCCUGCAUGAAGUUGGAAUCGCUAGUAAUCGCGGAUCAGCUACGCCGCGGUGAAUAUGUUCCUGAGCCUUGUACACACCGCCCGUCAAGCCACGAAAGUUGAGAGCGCCCGAAGUCGCUAGUCCAACCGUAAGGAGGACGGCGCCGAAGGCGAGCUCGAUGAUUGGGACUAAGUCGUAACAAGGUAGCCGUAGGGGAACCUGCGGCUGGAUCACCUCCUU